CCUACGGGAGGCAGCAGUGGGGAAUAUUGCGCAAUGGGCGAAAGCCUGACGCAGCGACGCCGCGUGAGGGAUGAAGGUCUUCGGAUCGUUAACCUCUGUCAGCAGGGAAGUACGGUCCGUGUGCUAAUCAGCAGUGAAAUGACGGUACCUGCAAAGGAAGCACCGGCUAACGCCGUGCCAACAGCUGCGGGAAUACGGGGGGUGCGUGCGUUAAUCGGAUUGAUUGGGCGUAAAGCGUUCGUAGGCGGUAUGACAAGUCAAGGGUGAAAUGCCGGCGCUCAACGUGGGAACUGCCUUUGAAACUGGUGAACUGGAGAGUAUGAGCGGAUGGUGGAAUGCCAGGUGUAGGAGUGAAAUCCGUAGAGAUC
rnacentral:rRNA from 1 species